rnacentral:lncRNA from 1 species
GGACAUGAUAUAAAUGGUAGAAGUAGGACAUGACCUACUUCUGAUAUCAUACAGAUGAGAAGAUGUAGAAGAGAAUAAACUGAAGGUUAAAGCCAGAGAUUUCUUAUGCAAUGAUUUUAGAAGAGUAUCCCCUUGUUUAACUAAUAUUAUCUUAUUUAUACUUUUGAUUUUCUUGAUUUUUUGUGUAGGUUAGGAGGGGUAUCUUUAGAUGAGGA